rnacentral:rRNA from 1 species
AUGCCCCAGAACAUUGGCGACCAAACAUCAGAGGCCCAAUUAGUUACGAGACUGACUCGUUGGGGUUUCGCUUGGAGCAUUCUUGAGAUGUUCAGUGGCGUUCAGACUUGGUGUGCCAAAUCACCAGAUGAGAUUUAUCAGUCAGUUGUCCUGAAGAAAGAGAAACCGAUGUUCCUGUACAAUUUACCUACGGAGGUCGCUAAUGUCCUCUCUGGCUGCUAUGAGUAUGAAUUUCGGGAUCACUCCUUGAUGUUAGAUAUCUUACAGUCAUUUGAAAUGUUUCUCUACAUUAGCUUUGUGUAUUCAAUUUUUUUGUUCCUGACAAGAAGUGCAUUGCACAUGCACACUUAUAUGAACAAGCCUUACAUGAUUUGCUCUUUUACUGAUGGACUGAGGAGGUCAGAGAUGUAUAACAGCCGUAUUGAUCCAAAUGACAAGUUGGAGGUGACACAUGAACGCUGGCAACGCAAAAUAGCAGAUAUAAAAUAA